UACGUAGGGGGCAAGCGUUGUCCGGAAUUACUGGGCGUAAAGCGCGCGCAGGCGGUCCUUUAAGUCUGAUGUGAAAGCCCACGGCUCAACCGUGGAGGGUCAUUGGAAACUGGGGGACUUGAGUACAGAAGAGAAGAGUGGAAUUCCACGUGUAGCGGUGAAAUGCGUAGAGAUGUGGAGGAACACCAGUGGCGAAGGCGGCAUCCUGGACCGGCAUUGACGCUGAGGCGCGAAAGCCAGGGGAGCAAACGGG
rnacentral:rRNA from 1 species